rfam:Environmental sequence 2662324_fasta.screen.Contig30925, whole genome shotgun sequence.
AAAGUUUCAAACGUUAAAGGUCUAGCCAACCAUGACGACCCCGAGUCAUGCGGCGGCAUUCGUAAGGGUGACGUCGAAGCGUUGACAGGGGAAAGUGCAGGCUGGGUAUUGAGCCGCGAAAAACAAUUCAUUCGGGAUGCCGACCCUGUAAGGAGAAGGGGAAGGCCACAAUCAACACUCCGCAUUGGCGAGGAGUAUUGGUAUCCCGCGAGGUCAGAGACCC